AUUGAACGCUGGCGGCAGGCCUAACACAUGCAAGUCGAGCGAGUGGCGGACGGGUGAGUAAUGUCUGGGCAUCUGCCUGAUGGAGUGGGAUAACUACUGGACACCGUGGCUAAUACCGCAUACCAUCAGAUGUGCCCAUAUGGGAUUAGCUAGUUGGUGGGGUAAAGGCUCACCAAGGCGACGAUCUCUAGCUUGUCUGAGUGGAUGACCAGCCACACUGGAACGGAGACACGGUCCAGACUCCUACGGGAGGCAGCAGUGGGGAAUAUUGGACAAUGGGCGCAAGCCUGAUGCAGCCAUGCCGCGUGUAUGAAGAAGGCCUUAGGGUUGUAAAGUACUUUCAGCGGGGAGGCGUUACCCGCAGAAGAAGCACCGGCUAACUCCGUGCCAGCAGCCGCGGUAAUAC
rnacentral:rRNA from 1 species